GAAAUCAGGGAUGGAUCUUAAUUGGUGGGACUGUUCCCAGGGCCUGUGAGAGACUGGGUUUCAGCCCAGAGCCCAACACAGCGCCGGAAGACAAAGUAUCAGACGCAGCUAACUGGUCUAUGGGGCCUCUGCUGCAGGAUCGAAGGAGAGCGUGUGUGUGCAGUCUCACUCAGUGUCGGGAGCACCUGGCUGCCUCCCUGAUGCGAUCUCAGACCUGGCGAAAGGACCUGGCCUCUGCUCAGAAAGGUCUUUUCUCCUUGUGAACAGAGACAUCAGAAGUUCAUUACAUCUCUGACAGGGCAGUGGUUUUCAAAGUGUGGUCCCCGGACCAAUAGCAUGAACAUCAUCUUGGAACUUGUCAGAAAUGGAAGUUCCCAGGCCCCAUGCCAAACCUACUGAAUUGGAAACACUAGGAGUGGGACACAGCUAUCUGACCAAGACUUCCAGGCCAGUGACGUGUAAAUGGCAAACACCGCUUCUGCUUAUAUCCAGUUGAUGACCAAGUUGUCAUAGCCACACCCAGCCACAAAGUCAGCUGCCAACUGUAGCCUCUAGCAAGUGUCCAUUGCACAGGAAGAAGGGAAGAACUGAUUUUGAAGGCACAACUGACCAUAAUCCCGCUAAAGGAAACAGGACAUCCUAAGACGGCUGCUGAAAUCACUACCCUUGCUGAUGGAAACUCACACCUCCGAGCCUUUGGCAAGGGCUUUAAUAAAAUCUCCUUUUAGAAAUGA